rnacentral:rRNA from 1 species
GACGAACGCUGGCGGCGUGCUUAAUACAUGCAAGUCGAACGGAAAGGCGCUGCUCUUGUGGGGUGCUCGAGUGGCGAACGGGUGAGUAACACGUGUGUAACCUGCCCCUGUCUGUGGGAUAACUUCAGGAAAAUGGGGCGCAUACCGGGUAGGAGAUCCUGCUGCAUGGGGGUGGUUGGAAAGUUUCGGCUGUUGUGGAUGGACUCGCGGCUUAUCCGCUUGUUGGUGGAGUAGUGGCUGACCAAGGCUAUGACGGGUAGCCGGCCUGAGAGGGUGAACGGCCUCCAGGGGCCUACGAUACGGCCCAGUCUCCUACGGGAGGCAGUGGUGGAGAGUAUUGCACAGCAGGCCGACGCCUGAUACAGCAACGCCGCGUGCGGAAUGACGGCUUUCUGGUUAUAAACCACUUUCGCAUGUGCCGAAGCGUGCGUGACGGUAAUGGGUAAAGAAGCACCGGCUAACUACGUG